GAGUCGUUAGUGCAGUUGGUUAAGCACGCGUCCCGAGAUAGGAUGAAAGGCGGGUUCAAGUCCCUCCUGACACA